GACGAACGCUGGCGGCGUGCUUAACACAUGCAAGUCGAACGGAAAGGCCCUGCUUUUGUGGGGUGCUCGCGUGGCGAACGGGUGAGUAACACGUGAGUAACCUGCCCUUGACUUUGGGAUAACUUCAGGAAACUGGGGCUAAUACCGGAUAGGAGCUCCUGCUGCAUGGUGGGGGUUGGAAAGUUUCGGCGGUUGGGGAUGGACUCGCGGCUUAUCAGCUUGUUGGUGGGGUAGUGGCUUACCAAGGCUUUGACGGGUAGUCGGCCUGAGAGGGUGACCGGCCACAUUGGGACUGAGAUACGGCCCAGACUCCUACGGGAGGCAGCAGUGGGGAAUAUUGCACAAUGGGCGGAAGCCUGAUGCAGCAACGCCGCGUGCGGGAUGACGGCCUUCGGGUUGUAAACCGCUGUCGCCUGAGACGAAGCGUGAGUGACGGUAAUGGGUAAAGAAGCACCGGCUAACUACGUG
rnacentral:rRNA from 1 species